AUUGAACGCUGGCGGCAUGCCUUACACAUGCAAGUCGAACGGCAGCACGGGUGCUUGCACCUGGUGGCGAGUGGCGAACGGGUGAGUAAUACAUCGGAACAUGUCCUGUAGUGGGGGAUAGCCCGGCGAAAGCCGGAUUAAUACCGCAUACGAUCUACGGAUGAAAGCGGGGGACCUUCGGGCCUGGCGCUAUAGGGUUGGCCGAUGGCUGAUUAGCUAGUUGGUGGGGUAAAGGCCUACCAAGGCGACGAUCAGUAGCUGGUCUGAGAGGACGACAAGCCACACUGGGACUGAGACACGGCCCAGACUCCUACGGGAGGCAGCAGUGGGGAAUUUUGGACAAUGGGCGAAAGCCUGAUCCAGCAAUGCCGCGUGUGUGAAGAAGGCCUUCGGGUUGUAAAGCACUUUUGUCCGGAAAGAAAUCCUUGGCCCUAAUACGGUCGGGGGAUGACGGUACCGGAAGAAUAAGCACCGGCUAACUACGUG
rnacentral:rRNA from 1 species